UUGAGAGUCCAGUUAGAAAUUGCUCUUAAUGGAAAAACAUUAAGUUUUCCAUUGAGGGCAAUGUAAUAAUAAACAUCUCAACAGCUAUUGCUUCUGGCUGAUAAUCAUUUUCUUGUGGCAGAUUUUUAUGUCUUGAUUUCCGGUCCGAUUAACGCUGAAGCAAUGAAGUCAUCUGAUGUUGAGUUUCAACUCAUUUGUAACUGCCGAUCUCAAGAAUCUGUCCUUCUGAGAGCGAUUGUGAAUAAGUACACCACUUCAGUAGAGAGCCACUAAUGUUACUCAGUGGGUAAAUGAUUGAAGACAAAUCAGUGAAUCUGGUGCCGAUACUUAUCUCUUUCAUUUAAAGGUCAUCGAACCUGCUCCAUGCCUAUUGCUGCAACAGAAACAAGAGCCGCCCAUUAUAAAGAGAGCACAGCUGUUGGGAAACUAGUCAUUAAAGUCUGCCAUCAGUAAUUUAUUGUGAUGGUUUACACCUGGGAUUUUGCUGCUGUUUUAGGAUUCUUGCCUCAGAUUUUCAGGAGCUGACAUCUUUACUGCUGCAGGCCCAAUCUGUUAGAUUUUAGAUAGAGUUGGCUAGUUCCCCAAUAAUAUUAAGUGCUCCUCCUUGAAGUGAAUAAAACACAAAAACAUGUGCAAAAAUGUUGCAUAGUCUUUCAUUUUAAGUUAAUUGUUUUUGAUCCUAAAUCUUUUACAUUUUUGUGUUGUUAUAUCCACUGCUAGAAGUUUUCAUUCUGCACUCUAUUACAGUUAGAGAAAAUAUCCACAGACCCAACUAAACCUACCUCCUAGACGUUUACC